rnacentral:misc_RNA from 1 species
GAAAUGCGAUAUUUAAUGUGAAUUGCAGAAUUCGGUGAAUCAUCGAGUCUUUGAACGCACAUUGCGCCCCCUGGUAUUCCGGGGGGCAUGCCUGUCCGAGCGUCAUUGCUGCCCUCAAGCACGGCUUGUGUGUUGGGCUUCCGUCCCUGGCAACGGGGACGGGCCCAAAAGGCAGUGGCGGCACCAUGUCUGGUCCUCGAGCGUAUGGGGCUUUGUCACCCGCUCCCGUAGGUCCAGCUGGCAGCUAGCCUCGCAACCAAUCUUUUUAACCAGGUUGACCUCGGAUCAGGUAGGGAUACCCGCUGAACUUAAG